AGUGAACGCUGGCGGUAGGCCUAACACAUGCAAGUCGAACGGCAGCACAGUAAGCGCUUGCUCUUACGGGUGGCGAGUGGCGGACGGGUGAGGAAUACAUCGGAAUCUACUUUUUCGUGGGGGAUAACGUAGGGAAACUUACGCUAAUACCGCAUACGACCUACGGGUGAAAGCAGGGGAUCUUCGGACCUUGCGCGAUUGAAUGAGCCGAUGUCGGAUUAGCUAGUUGGCGGGGUAAAGGCCCACCAAGGCGACGAUCCGUAGCUGGUCUGAGAGGAUGAUCCGCCACACUGGAACUGAGACACGGUCCAGACUCCUACGGGAGGCAGCAGUGGGGAAUAUUGGACAAUGGGCGCAAGCCUGAUCCAGCCAUACCGCGUGGGUGAAGAAGGCCUUCGGGUUGUAAAGCCCUUUUGUUGGGAAAGAAAAGCAGCAGGUUAAUACCCCGCUGUUCUGACGGUACCCAAAGAAUAAGCACCGGCUAACUUCGUG
rnacentral:rRNA from 1 species